UCCGGUUUGUCACCGGCAGUCACCUUAGAGUGCCCAACUGAAUGCUGGCAACUAAGAUCAAGGGUUGCGCUCGUUGCGGGACUUAACCCAACAUCUCACGACACGAGCUGACGACAGCCAUGCAGCACCUGUCACCGGCCAAUUGAAGAGCUCCGUCUCCGGAGCCCCGACCGGGAAGUCAAGGGCUGGUAAGGUUCUUCGCGUUGCCUCGAAUUAAUCCACAUCAUCCACCGCUUGUGCAGGCCCCCGUCAAUUUCUUUGAGUUUUAAUCUUGCGACCGUACUUCCCAGGCGGCGUAUUUAACGCGUUGGCUACGCCACAAAAGGGGUCGAUUCCUUUUACAGCAAAUACGCACCGUUUACGGCUAGGACUAC
rnacentral:misc_RNA from 1 species